rnacentral:ncRNA from 1 species
UGAUGAUUGAGCGAUGAGGCUCGCUCUUGAACCAAACGCUGAUAAGCUGAUGGCCUCUACCAGAUU